UACGAAGGGGGCUAGCGUUGUUCGGAAUCACUGGGCGUAAAGGGCGCGUAGGCGGCUCGGUAAGUAGGGGGUGAAAUCCUGCGGCUUAACCGCAGGGCUGCCUUCUAAACUGUCGAGCUUGAGCACGGUAGAGGCAGAUGGAAUUCCCGGUGUAGCGGUGGAAUGCGUAGAGAUCGGGAAGAACAUCAGUGGCGAAGGCGGUCUGCUGGGCCGUUGCUGACGCUGAGGCGCGACAGCGUGGGGGAGCAAACAGG
rnacentral:rRNA from 1 species